ensembl:lncRNA
GGGGAGGUGAACACAGAGGGAAGGUGAUGGGUCUGGACUUCGCAGACUCCUGAAAGGGAGGGCAGCGAGGGGCCGGUUUCAGCAAAGUGUCAGAGUCCCUCUGAGCUCGGGGAAAGAGUUUAAAGAGGACACAUCAGUGUCGGGUCCAGUGUCGGGAGCAAAGAGGCCGGAAGCACAAAGCCUUCUGGGAGGAAGAAGAGAGGUCGAACUCGCCUGGAAGCCAGCGUGAAUUUUCCAAGUCCGUGGCCUUGGCAAGGGUCAUCCCAGUGCACCGGCCCCGAGCACCCUGUCUCAUGCAUUGAACCUGGACUGGCGAUCUGUUGCACAUAUGAAACGAGUCCUGUGUAAGGUGCUGUGCUGUGCGGACCUCUUCCACUCGGUGGCAAUGUGAGUUUCUCCGUGUCAUUGCCAUCGGUCGGGCACAUUCGUGCUAGUAGCAUACAAGGAUUCAUCGUGUGAACCGACCACGAUUCAUCCACUCUGUGCAGAAAGCCGCUCGGAUGGCCUGGGGUUGCUCAAUGCGGGGUUGAUGCAGACAUCAUUCUUGCUGUUUCUUCUGGUGAACACAGGUGUGCACCCCUGGUGGGUACACCUGAAGGUGGCUGCUGGGUCCUAGGGUGUGCUUUAUACUCAGAGGUACCAACCAAGACGUUUCCCACAGGGCUGGGACCGAUUUAGUGUCUGUGUGUCCUAUGACUGGAAGUGGGGUCUGGCUGCUCGCUGCCCAAAAGUCAAUAAAGAGCCCAGGGUCUAAAAGACAGCUCAGAGGAGAUGGCUCAGAGUAUUAUCUAUAGCCCUGGAGGAGGAACUAAAGGUCCUUGACUGUGCUCAGUGACUCAGCGAUUAUUUCUUCUGUUGGACUGCUUUCCUUUGUUUCUGCGUUUUCUCACUUCUCUGAUUAAACUUAUUCUCUGACUAAAGUUUUCCUACAGACAAAAGGCAGCUGGAGGACAUGCGGGGAAAGGACCAUAGGGCCCUGCCUUGCUUCAAUACCGGCAGCUCUAUAAUCAAGCUACUGGCAUGUUCAUAUUACUGUAAUAAUAAUUACUACUUUAUAACAAAAUGCUAUAAUUAUUCAAAUAAUCAGAUAAAUAUUCAAAUGAUUAAAUAAUGAUUAAUGAUAGUUAUAUUAGUAUAAUCUCUUAACAACUUGUGUAUGGUCAGGCCACUCAAGAUGGCUGCCCUCUUGUCCGAGCAGCGCCUGCUUCACCUACAUCCUGUGCAUAGACUGACCUUCCUAUGUACUUGGCCC